UUUACCUCAGAUUCUUCUCUUCUUCCACAGGCAGGAGUCUGUCUGAUUGCUGGAUCCAACAUAUAGUUAGAAUCAGUGGGAGUUCUGCAUGCAGUUUGAAGAAGGCAACAACUUCAAUGUAUUUUGUGGAGAUCAGUGCAGGACUUGAGCAAUCUACAUAUAACUUCUCAGCCUCAUGACUUGACAAGAAAUUCACCUCAUUUUCUGGAAAUGAUGAGAGGCUGAUUUCAGAAAAGCCUGGAGUUUCAUGAAUUGAUGCUGAGUGAAGUGAGUAGAACCAGGAGAA